AAAAGAAAUAAAGGGCUGAUACCCGCUACAACAUGGAUGAACCUUGAAAAGUUUAUGCUAAAUGAAAGAAGCCAGACACAAAAGGCUGCAUUUAAAUGAAAUACCCAGAAUAGCACUGCUUGGCAGCCACUGGGCAAGCUGGUGGAGGAAGAGGAGAUACAAAGAUGAAUGAGAUGGAGACUCAGCCCACUGUCCAACCUACCCAGCGGCUUGCAUCCCAACAGGGGAAGAGACCUGCCCACAGACAGGAUGGAAGUACCUGUCCAGGUUUUUGUUUCAAGAGCGUUCAGCUGUCUAAACACUCAGCUCAGCCAAGCCUCGCUCUGCAUACAGACUACAGAGGGACUUCAGAGGCGCAAGCAUCCUGCUCUCAUCUUCCCAUCAGCAGAGCUCCUCGUUUCCAACCCUGACUGGAAGGAAAUGAACCCUAUGGCAGAGGGCAGGUAGAUUCUUUACCACUGAGUCACCUGAGAAGCCUGAGGAUGCUGAAAACAGCUACCAGUAACAGACCCAUCUGUCUGUUCCAGGGGGCACUGAACAUUUCACACUCCUUACUGGUCUGCUAAUGUGCCAUAAGAUGCAGGCUCUAGAACUGAACAAAUUCUCCAAAGACAGCUGAUCCACGCCAUCUACUGAGAAACUACCAUCUCCUUU